UACGUAGGGAGCAAGCGUUGUCCGGAAUUAUUGGGCGUAAAGAGCUCGUAGGCGGUUUGUCGCGUCGGCUGUGAAAACUCGGGGCUCAACCCCGAGCCUGCAGUCGAUACGGGCAGACUAGAGUGCUGUAGGGGAGACUGGAAUUCCUGGUGUAGCGGUGAAAUGCGCAGAUAUCAGGAGGAACACCGGUGGCGAAGGCGGGUCUCUGGGCAGUAACUGACGCUGAGGAGCGAAAGCGUGGGGAGCGAACAGG
rnacentral:rRNA from 1 species